GUACUGACAAAGAGUUCAAAAUAGGACGAAACAGAUGUCCAGUAC
rnacentral:hammerhead_ribozyme from 1 species